UACGUAGGGUGCGAGCGUUGUCCGGAAUUAUUGGGCGUAAAGGGCUCGUAGGCGGUUUGUCGCGUCGGGAGUGAAAACCUGGGGCUUAACUCUGGGCGUGCGGUCGAUACGGGCAUCACUAGAGUUCGGCAGGGGAGACUGGAAUUCCUGGUGUAGCGGUGAAAUGCGCAGAUAUCAGGAGGAACACCGGUGGCGAAGGCGGGUCUCUGGGCCGAUACUGACGCUGAGGAGCGAAAGCAUGGGUAGCGAACAGG
rnacentral:rRNA from 1 species